rnacentral:rRNA from 1 species
AUUGAACGCUGGCGGCAGGCCUAACACAUGCAAGUCGAGCGAGCGGCGGACGGGUGAGUAAUGUCUGGGAAACUGCCUGAUGGAGGGGGAUAACUACUGGAAACGGUAGCUAAUACCGCAUACCAUCAGAUGUGCCCAGAUGGGAUUAGCUAGUAGGUGGGGUAAUGGCUCACCUAGGCGACGAUCCCUAGCUGGUCUGAGAGGAUGACCAGCCCACCUUGAAACGGGGCCAGGUCCCAGCUCCCAAGGGGGGGAAGAGUUGGGAAUAUUGGAAAAAGGGCGCAAGGCUGAAGGAGCCAUGGCCGGUGGAUGGAAGAGGGCUUUGGGUUGUAAAGUACUUUCAGCGAGGAGGCGUUACUCGCAGAAGAAGCACCGGCUAACUCCGUGCCAGCAGCCGCGGUAAUAC